AGUACCGUCUGGCAAACCGGAAGAGAUUCCGGGGCGCAAAGCCGACGGGUCCUAGCUUGUUCAGGGGGAACAGGAAGGAUGGCCGGGUUGCCGUU
rnacentral:ncRNA from 1 species